GCGGAAAUGGCGGAAUUGGUAGACGCACCAGAUUUAGGUUCUGGCGCCGUAAGGUGUGAGAGUCCAAGUCUCUCCUUCCGCACCA
rnacentral:tRNA from 1 species